GAAGGAAGGAGGGAAGGAAGGAGGGAGGGAAGGAAGGAAGGAGGGAGGGAAGGAAGGAGGGAGGGAAGGAAGGAGGGAGGGAAGGAAGGAAGGAGGGAGGGAAGGAAGAAGGAAGAAGGGGAGGGAGGAAGGAAGGAAAGGAGGAAGGAAGGAAGGAAAGAAGGAAGAAAGGAAGGAGGGAGGGAAAGAAGGAAGAAAGGAAGGAGGGAGGGAAAGAAGGAAGAAAGGAAGGAGAGAGGGAAGGAAGGAAGAAAGGAAGGAGGAAGAAAGGAAGGGCGAAGGGAAGGAAGGAAGAAGGAGAGGAAGGAAGAAAGGAAGGAAGGAAAAAGGGAAGGAAAGAAGGAAGAAGGGGAGGAAGGAAAGGAGGGAAGGAAGGAAGAAAGGAGGAAGGGAAGGAAGGAGGGAGGGAGGGAAGGAAGGAAGAAAGGAAGGAAAGGAGGGAGAGAAUAUCCCCACACAUGAUCCUUCGCUGUUGAUCCUUGCAUUCUAGGGAGUUGGAAGGGAGCUAGAAGUCGGGACCAGCAUUCCCCUAGCAGCAGCGCUCCCUCCUGCAGCAUCCUUGCCGUACUUCCUUCCUUCCUUCCUUGCCAUCCAUCCAUCCUUCCUUGCCGUCCUUCCUUCCUCACUGUCCUUCCUUCCUCGCCGUCCUUCCUUUCUCACCUUCCUUCCUUCCUUCCUCACCUUCCUUCCUUCCUCACCGUACUUCCUUCUUUCCUUCCUCACCUUCCUUCCUUCCUUCCUCACUGUACUUUUG
rnacentral:lncRNA from 10 species